CAUUAGAGAGAAAAUCACUCGGCUCCCCCAGUCUUUUGCGUCCAAUUUAUGUCCAAUUUGCAGACUUUCAACAUUGCAACCUCACAGUUCAUAAAAUCAAACUCAGCCUGGGGUACUUUUUUUCUCCGAACUUGAACAAAAACCUCAGAAUUCUCAGCUGAAGUCAGCACAUGAGAUGGACCCGAUCCAUUGCUUUGGAGGGGACAGAAACACAUACAAGUGGUUACACAUCUCCGUGCAGUGACUUAGGAUUUCCAGUAUGGUGAUGAAUAGGAGUAGAAAGCAAGUACAUCCUUAUCUUGUAUCCAG